UUGUGAAGAUAGCAAUAACCAUUGACAACCUCGUUCGUCAGAGAACCCCUCAUCUGCGGAUGCCGCUCCUGAACACUGUCCCGGUGAGCAAACUCCAGAACCGAUGCGGAUUGGCCAAGGCUGACUAGAUCCCGAUGAGAGACAGCGCCGUCUCCGCAACUGUCUGUGCCUCUACUGUGGAAUCCCCGGCCAUUUCCGUGCGACCUGCCUGGUUCGCCCGACACCACUGAAAGCUAACUCAGAACCCAAGGUGUUUGUCAAUCAUGUACUAGGAGACCUCGUGGAUGACUGCAUCCUGGUGUACCUGGAUGACAUCUUGAUCAUCUCCAAGACCCGGGAAGUCCACGUCUGCCAGUGACAACUCCUUUGACUCCCUGACCUUCGCAUCAUCCCUGGCUUUGAUCUUUGGAUUCCCCUUGGUGACCGACAAAUGCAAAUCACCCGAACCUUGCCUGUGCGGACCACCCUCGUGGCUAUCCUGCAUAAAUAAAAACACCUGCACCUGCUGAGU